GACGAACGCUGGCGGCGCGCUUAACACAUGCAAGUCGAACGGAAAGGCCUGCUUUCCCUUGUGGAUUGCGGGUACUCGAGUGGCGAACGGGUGAGUAACACGUGAGUGAUCUGCCCCCAACUUGGGUAUAAGCCUGGGAAACUGGGUCUAAUUCCCGAUAGGACUGCAGGGUGGUGCCAGUGGUGGAAAACGAUUUUCUAGUGGUUGGGGAUGAGCUCGCGGCCUAUCAGCUUGUUGGUGGGGUAAUGGCCUACCAAGGCGGCGACGGGUAGCCGGCCUGAGAGGGUGGACGGCCACAUUGGGACGGAGAUACGGCCCAGACUCCUACGGGAGGCAGCAGUGGGGAAUAUUGCACAAUGGGCGGAAGCCUGAUGCAGCGACGCCGCGUGGGGGAUGACGGCCUUCGGGUUGUAAACUCCUUUCGACCGCGAGGAAGCCACCUGGUUGGAAGGGUGGUGACGGUAGUGGUAGAAGAAGCACCGGCUAACUACGUG
rnacentral:rRNA from 1 species